rnacentral:sRNA from 1 species
CUAUAACACGAACCGUGUGGGUGAGUAACCUGCGUUCAGGUUCGAGCCGAGCGAAGCGAGACAGCAACGCACAGCGUUGACCCGAAGGGCGAGUCCA